rnacentral:tRNA from 1 species
GCCUGAGUGGCUCAGUCGGUUGAGCGUCUGACUUCUGCUCAGGUCAUGAUCUCGCGGUUCGUGAGUUCAAGCCCCGCGUCGGGCU